CAGAUCGCGGAUAGCAGCGGGGAGAUGCUGCCGUCCAGGACGGCGAAACGAGACAGUUUGCCACUAAACUGGACACUUCUUUCAUAUUCGUCCAAACAUGGAUAAUAACGACACAUAUCUCCAUCUCAGUUCUUCGUUGCAGGUAGCACAUGGUCACCUGAGUUCUCCUCCGUCCCAGCCUCCUCUGAGCUCCAUGGUGUCGCACCAUCACCCAUCCAUCAUCAACGGUCUGGGGUCUCCAUACUCAGUCAUCACCUCCUCCUCCCUGGGCUCGCCUUCGGCCUCUAUGCCCACCACUUCCAACAUGGGCUAUGGAGCACUCAACAGUCCACAGAUGAACUCUCUGAACAGUGUUAGCAGCUCAGAGGACAUUAAACCUCCUCCAGGACUGGCAGGACUGGGCAGUUACCCUUGCGGCAGCCCCGGGUCCCUCUCCAAACACAUCUGUGCCAUUUGUGGAGACCGAUCCUCAGGGAAACAUUAUGGUGUUUACAGCUGUGAAGGAUGCAAAGGCUUCUUCAAGAGAACCAUCCGUAAAGACCUGACGUACACUUGUCGAGACAAUAAGGACUGCCAGAUAGACAAACGCCAGCGAAACCGCUGCCAGUACUGUCGCUAUCAGAAGUGUCUCGCCAUGGGCAUGAAGAGAGAGGCGGUCCAGGAGGAGAGGCAGCGCGGUCGGGAGAGGAGUGAUAAUGAAGUGGACUCCAGCAGCAGCUUCAAUGAAGAGAUGCCGGUGGAGAAGAUCCUGGACGCUGAGCUGGCAGUGGAGCCCAAGACAGAAGCUUACAUGGAGUCAAGCAUGAGCAACUCGACAAAUGACCCAGUGACCAACAUCUGCCAGGCUGCAGAUAAGCAGCUCUUCACGCUUGUUGAAUGGGCGAAGAGGAUCCCACACUUCUCUGACCUCCCUCUAGAUGAUCAGGUCAUCUUGCUGCGAGCAGGUUGGAACGAGCUGCUUAUUGCUUCAUUCUCACAUCGCUCAGUGACAGUUAAAGAUGGGAUUCUCUUGGCCACCGGCCUGCAUGUUCAUCGCAGCAGUGCUCACAGUGCCGGUGUGGGCUCUAUAUUUGACAGGGUAUUAACAGAGCUGGUAUCUAAGAUGAGGGAAAUGAUGGACAAGACGGAGCUGGGCUGUUUAAGAGCAAUCGUCCUCUUCAACCCAGAUGCAAAAGGACUAUCAAACCCAUCAGAGGUGGAGGCGUUAAGGGAAAAAGUGUACGCAUCGCUGGAGGGCUACACCAAACACAACUACCCGGAUCAGCCUGGAAGGUUUGCCAAGCUACUCCUGCGUCUCCCAGCUCUGCGCUCCAUUGGACUGAAGUGUCUGGAGCAUCUGUUCUUCUUCAAGCUCAUUGGAGACACACCUAUAGACACUUUCCUCAUGGAGAUGCUGGAAGCACCGCAUCAAAUUACAUGACACCAAUCCUGCCGCAUGUAAAUAAACCCCAGCGCACACUUUAUAACCCCUUUAUAACAACAAAGAAGUUCUUAUUUUCUACCAAGCACAAUGUGAAGAAGUAAAAAAUGCAAACACGCAAAAGAUUUGUAUCGGUAUUUUCCAAGAAAAAAGACACUGUUGAAGUAAAUUGUAUGAGUACUGUAAACCUUUAUUUUGUACAUAGAUUUUACCAGCUGUGAUAGCAGCAAGAAACUAAAUGUGAAAAUAUUUAAUUCAGUGCAAAACUGUGUAAACAGUCACCAGCAAUCAGUUUAGAAUUCUGUGAAGAUAAUUAAUAAUAAUAAUAAUAACAAAAGAAGUCGGUUAAAAUGUUUUGUUGUUGGUUAUUUUUGAAAUAACCAUUUGUGGAAUAAAUGUGAUUUUUCACAACUGUUUUUUUGUAUGAAAUAAAACCUGAAUUCCUUC
ensembl:processed_transcript rxrga retinoid x receptor, gamma a